AACGGAGAAGAAAUGAUGGAGACAAAGAGAAGGAAGCAUCAGCCGUGACAGCCGGCCGCCCUCGGCUGUCUGCCAGCUGUCAGGACGCUGAGUGAGGGCGCCGCUCGGCUCUGACACCUGGGGAUCAGGUGUGGGCAGACCCAUCAGCAGAAAGUAGAGACGGACACUCAGGACGUGACAUUGAAGACCAACCGAUGCCUCUGGUUUGAGAGCAGAAGUGUAAGACGCUGAAGGUGGGGAAACUGUUACUCGGGGAAGUGUUCUGUGGCCGGUGGAGGAAUCUGCGAAGAUGUCUUGGGAUGAUGGUGCAGCGUGAGUCCCAGUGGAGGAGGAAGUGGAAACUGGACGUGGUCCAAGACGGCGCUUCCUCCAACUCAACUCUGCAGAGCUCAACACGAAAUCAUUUGGAAUCAGUGUGAAGCAGCAAAACCGAGUCUCCCAAGACGGACAGUUAUGAAGAUCCCUAAAGGUGGCCGUACAAACCACGAAGACCUGCAAAACACACGCCUAGAGAUGUGCCGCUACUGUCUAUGACCCUCCAUGGACCUGGACAACCCAAAAUCCCACAGCUACUAUAAAGGUCAACCUCCCGGACAAGUGAGUGCAUGUGACUGAGGUUUAAUCAAGUGAAGACUACCUUAGCUGAAUAAUCCUGUCAUAAAACACUCUUGUGCUUUCUGC